rnacentral:rRNA from 1 species
GUGCCAGCCGCCGCGGUAAUACGUAGGUGGCAAGCGUUGUCCGGAUUUAUUGGGCGUAAAGCGAGCGCAGGCGGUUUCUUAAGUCUGAUGUGAAAGCCUUCGGCUCAACCGAAGAAGUGCAUCGGAAACUGGGAAACUUGAGUGCAGAAGAGGACAGUGGAACUCCAUGUGUAGCGGUGAAAUGCGUAGAUAUAUGGAAGAACACCAGUGGCGAAGGCGGCUGUCUGGUCUGUAACUGACGCUGAGGCUCGAAAGCAUGGGUAGCAAACAGGAUUAGAUACCCUGGUAGUCCAUGCCGUAAACGAUGAGUGCUAGGUGUUGGAGGGUUUCCGCCCUUCAGUGCCGCAGCUAACGCAUUAAGCACUCCGCCUGGGGAGUACGACCGCAAGGUUGAAACUCAACAGGAAUUGACGGGGGCCCGCACAAGCGGUGGAGCAUGUGGUUUAAUUCGAAGCAACGCGAAGAACCUUACCAGGUCUUGACAUCCUUUGACCACUCUAGAGAUAGAGCUUUCCCUUCGGGGACAAAGUGACAGGUGGUGCAUGGUUGUCGUCAGCUCGUGUCGUGAGAUGUUGGGUUAAGUCCCGCAACGAGCGCAACCCUUAUUACUAGUUGCCAGCAUUAAGUUGGGCACUCUAGUGAGACUGCCGGUGACAAACCGGAGGAAGGUGGGGACGACGUCAAAUCAUCAUGCCCCUUAUGACCUGGGCUACACACGUGCUACAAUGGAUGGUACAACGAGUUGCGAGACCGCGAGGUUUAGCUAAUCUCUUAAAACCAUUCUCAGUUCGGAUUGUAGGCUGCAACUCGCCUACAUGAAGCCGGAAUCGCUAGUAAUCGCGGAUCAGCAUGCCGCGGUGAAUACGUUCCCGGGCCUUGUACACACCGCCCGU